UCCUCGUAUAAUUUUCUUCUGAUUGAAAAUUGCAAAAAAUCUAAUCUGUCACAGAAAUCCUUAAGACUCAACCAUGGCUACCCAAUUGAGCCAGAAAAAGACAGCUUGUGUGAUCGGUGGCACUGGUUUUGUUGCUUCAUUGCUGGUGAAGUUGUUGCUUGAGAAGGGUUAUGCUGUGAAUACUACAGUCAGGGACCCAGGUAAUCAGAAGAAGACCUCUCAUCUCCUAGCACUGAAAAAAUUGGGGGAGCUAAACAUAUUUGGAGCUGAUUUGACCAAUGAAGAAAGUUUUGAUGCUGCCGUAGCAGGUUGUGACUUUGUCUUCCAUGUUGCAACCCCUGUGAAUUUUGCUUCUCAAGAUCCAGAGAAUGACAUGAUCAAGCCAGCAGUCCAAGGAGUUCAUAAUGUUUUGAAAGCUUGUGCGAAAGCUAAAACAGUGAAAAGGGUCAUCCUGACAUCCUCUGCUGCUGCUGUAACAAUAAAUAAGCUCAGUGGUACAGGUUUAGUCAUGGAUGAGAAAAACUGGACUGAUACCGAGUUCUUGACUUCUGAGAAGCCACCCACUUGGGGGUACCCUCUUUCCAAGACUUUAGCUGAGAAGGCAGCUUGGAAGUUUGCUCAAGAAAAUAACAUUGAUCUCAUUUCUGUUAUCCCUACACUCAUGACUGGUCCUUCUCUGACAUUGGAUAUUCCCAGCAGUGUAAACCUGGCCACAUCACUGAUCACAGGAAAUGAGUUCCUCAUAAAUGCUUUGAAAGGCAUGCAAAUGCUGUCAGGCUCAGUAUCAAUAACGCAUGUGGAGGAUGUCUGUCGCGCCCAUAUAUUUUUAGCUGAGAAAGAAUCAUCUUCUGGUCGAUAUAUAUGUUCCUGCGUGAAUACCAGUGUUCCUGAGCUUGCCAAAUUCCUCAAGGACAGAUAUCCUCAGUACGAAGUCCCAACUGAGUUUGGAGAUUUCCCUUCCAAGGCCAAGUUAAUCAUCUCAUCAGAGAAGCUAAUCAGUGAGGGGUUCAGUUUCAAGUAUGGGAUUGAAGAGAUCUAUGACCAAACUGUAGAGUAUCUGAAGGCCAAAGGGACGCUGAAUUGAAGUGUUUGUGUUUGUGUUCAUGUAUCAAUCCUCAGUGACAGGACAGCGAUUUUAACCUUUACAUACGUUGCUGUUGUACUAUAAAUGCUCUGUUGAAAAAAUA
rnacentral:misc_RNA from 1 species